rnacentral:rRNA from 1 species
CCUACGGGUGGCAGCAGUGAGGAAUAUUGGUCAAUGGACGAGAGUCUGAACCAGCCAAGUAGCGUGAAGGAUGACUGCCCUAUGGGUUGUAAACUUCUUUUAUAUGGGAAUAAAAUGUUCCACGUGUGGGAUUUUGUAUGUACUAUAUGAAUAAGGAUCGGCUAACUCCGUGCCAGCAGCCGCGGUAAUACGGAGGAUCCGAGCGUUAUCCGGAUUUAUUGGGUUUAAAGGGAGCGUAGGUGGAUUGUUAAGUCAGUUGUGAAAGUUUGCGGCUCAACCGUAAAAUUGCAGUUGAAACUGGCAGUCUUGAGUACAGUAGAGGUGGGCGGAAUUCGUGGUGUAGCGGUGAAAUGCUUAGAUAUCACGAAGAACCCCGAUUGCGAAGGCAGUUCACUAGACUGCAACUGACACUGAGGCUCGAAAGUGUGGGUAUCAAACAGGAUUAGAUACCCCUGUAGUC